UUCUUUCUUUUUUACUUUUAAUGCUGUGUGCCACUUCUUUUUGUUGUCAAAGAUUUUAACUUUAGGGUUUUAGAAUGCUAUAAUUUCAUUCUUUCGUCAAAGAUUGUUACUUUACGGUUUUAGAAUGCUAUAAUUUUGCCAUUGUUUUGUCAAAGAUUGUAACUUUAGGGGUUUUAGGAUGCUAUAAUUUUGUCAUUGUUUUGUCAAAGGUUGUAACUUUAGGAUUUUAGAAUGUUAUAAUUUUGCCAUUGGUUUGUCAAAGAUUGUAAUUUUGGGGUUUUAGAAUGCUAAAAGUUUCCAUUGUGUUUGUCAAAGAUUGUAACUUUAGGGUUUUAGACUGCUACAAAUUGCUCUGUCAAAGAUUUUAACUUUAGGGUUUUAGAAUGCUAAAGGAUUUCAGCAUGUUUUCA